GAUGAACGCUGGCGGCGUGCCUAAUACAUGCAAGUCGAGCGAACGGACGAGAAGCUUGCUUCUCUGAUGUUAGCGGCGGACGGGUGAGUAACACGUGGAUAACCUACCUAUAAGACUGGGAUAACUUCGGGAAACCGGAGCUAAUACCGGAUAAUAUUUUGAACCGCAUGGUUCAAAAGUGAAAGACGGUCUUGCUGUCACUUAUAGAUGGAUCCGCGCUGCAUUAGCUAGUUGGUAAGGUAACGGCUUACCAAGGCAACGAUGGAUAGCCGACCUGAGAGGGUGAUCGGCCACACUGGAACUGAGACACGGUCCAGACUCCUACGGGAGGCAGCAGUAGGGAAUCUUCCGCAAUGGGCGAAAGCCUGACGGAGCAACGCCGCGUGAGUGAUGAAGGUCUUCGGAUCGUAAAACUCUGUUAUUAGGGAAGAACAUAUGUGUAAGUAACUGUGCACAUCUUGACGGUACCUAAUCAGAAAGCCACGGCUAACUACGUGCCAGCAGCCGCGGUAAUACGUAGGUGGCAAGCGUUAUCCGGAAUUAUUGGGCGUAAAGCGCGCGUAGGCGGUUUUUUAAGUCUGAUGUGAAAGCCCACGGCUCAACCGUGGAGGGUCAUUGGAAACUGGAAAACUUGAGUGCAGAAGAGGAAAGUGGAAUUCCAUGUGUAGCGGUGAAAUGCGCAGAGAUAUGGAGGAACACCAGUGGCGAAGGCGACUUUCUGGUCUGUAACUGACGCUGAUGUGCGAAAGCGUGGGGAUCAAACAGGAUUAGAUACCCUGGUAGUCCACGCCGUAAACGAUGAGUGCUAAGUGUUAGGGGGUUUCCGCCCCUUAGUGCUGCAGCUAACGCAUUAAGCACUCCGCCUGGGGAGUACGACCGCAAGGUUGAAACUCAAAGGAAUUGACGGGGACCCGCACAAGCGGUGGAGCAUGUGGUUUAAUUCGAAGCAACGCGAAGAACCUUACCAAAUCUUGACAUCCUUUGACAACUCUAGAGAUAGAGCCUUCCCCUUCGGGGGACAAAGUGACAGGUGGUGCAUGGUUGUCGUCAGCUCGUGUCGUGAGAUGUUGGGUUAAGUCCCGCAACGAGCGCAACCCUUAAGCUUAGUUGCCAUCAUUAAGUUGGGCACUCUAAGUUGACUGCCGGUGACAAACCGGAGGAAGGUGGGGAUGACGUCAAAUCAUCAUGCCCCUUAUGAUUUGGGCUACACACGUGCUACAAUGGACAAUACAAAGGGCAGCGAAACCGCGAGGUCAAGCAAAUCCCAUAAAGUUGUUCUCAGUUCGGAUUGUAGUCUGCAACUCGACUACAUGAAGCUGGAAUCGCUAGUAAUCGUAGAUCAGCAUGCUACGGUGAAUACGUUCCCGGGUCU
rnacentral:rRNA from 1 species